rnacentral:rRNA from 1 species
AUUGAACGCUGGCGGCAGGCCUAACACAUGCAAGUCGAGCGAGCGGCGGACGGGUGAGUAAUGUAUGGGGCCUUCCCGCUAGAGGGGGGUAACUCCUUGAAACGGUAGCUAAUACCGCAUACUAUCGGAUAACCCAUAUGGGAUGAGCUAGUUGGUGUGGUAAUGGCUGACCAAGGCGACGAUCCCGAGCUGGUCUGAGAGGAUGAUCAGCCACACUGGGACUGAGACACGGCCCAGACUCCUACGGAGGCAGCAGUGGGGAAUAUUGGACAAUGGGCGCAAGCCGGAUGCAGCCAUGCCGCGUGUGUGAAGAAGGCCCUAGGGUUGUAAAGUACUUUAAGUCGGGAGGCGGUAGCGACAGAAGAAGCACCGGCUAACUCCGUGCCAGCAGCCGCGGUAAUAC